rnacentral:rRNA from 1 species
AUGAACACCUUCCUGAUGGCGCCAUUCACAAGUGAUGAUGUUAAAAAAGCUAUUCAUAGUAUAGGAGAUCUAAAGGCUCCUGGCCCAUAUGGACUCCAUGCUAUUUUCUUCAAGAAGUAUUGGCAUAUACUUGGGGAAUAUAUUACUCAGGAAGUCUUGUAUGCCAUCAACUCUAGAAAGAUACCAACUAAUUGGAAUGAUACCACCAUUGUUAUGAUCCCAAAGACUGAAGCUCCUAAACUGGUAACCCAAUUUCAUCCCAUCAGUCUUUGUAAUGUUCUCUAUAAGAUUAUAUCCAAGAUGUUGGCUUCCCGUUUGAAAAAUAUUCUGCCUGAGAUUAUCUCUCCCACACAAAGUGCUCUUGUGCCUGGUAGGAUGAUCACUGAUAACAUUCUGAUAGCCUAUGAAUGUGUGCACAAAAUAAAAAAUAAAAGAACUGGUCAAACUGGACUUUGUGCUGUUAAGUUGGACAUGCAUAAGGCCUAUGACAGGGUGGAAUGGUCUUUUUUGAGAGAUAUGAUGAUCACCUUGGGAUCACGACAUUGGAUUGAGGUGAUGAUGACACGUGUGAGCUCAGUAAAAUAUAAAGUUAGGUUCAACUCUCAGGAGACGGAUUCUUUUAUUCCCACCAGAGGUAUUAGACAAGGGGACCCGCUUUCCCCUUAUUUAUUCCUCCUUUGUGGAGAAGGUCUCCCCAGUCUAUUGGAGUAUGAAGAAGAAGCUGGUGGCAUAGAGGGAAUUAGAGUGUGCAGGAAUGCAUCGUCAGUAUCGCACCUUUUAUUCGCUGAUGAUUCUCUGAUUCAAAUGAAAGCAAAUAUUCUAAAUGCAGCUUCCUUACAGCAUGUUCCGCAAACCUACUAUCAAAGCUCAGGGCAACUAGUGAGUUUAUCUAAGUCAAGUGUAUUUUUUAGUCCUAACACCCCUGUCAUAUCUAGGACUGAAAUCUGCCAAUAAUUACACAUUGAUACUGAAGCUCUAUCUAAUAAAUAUCUAGGACUCCCGGCAUUGGUUGGGGCUGAUAGGCAUGACUGUUUUAGACAAUUAUAUGAAAGAAUUAAAGAAAGAUUAAAAGGAUGGAUGGAAAAGCAACUUUCAAGGGGGGAAGAAAAACUCCUUAAAGCUGUAGCCCAGGCCAUCCCAGUUUUUGCCAUGUCUGUUUUUUGCUUACCUAAGGGCGCAUGGAAAGACAUCACUGAUCUAAUUGCCCAAUUUUGGUUGGGGUGA